rnacentral:lncRNA from 1 species
AUUAGAAUAAUUAUUUAAUCCUUGUCGCUGGAAUCCGACAUUUUUGUUUACCUCAGUCUGAUGACAUUAUGAAAUUACCUGCGCCUACAAUCAUACACGGGGCGCAAAACUAAAAAGAAAAUCGGGAAAAUCCGACAUUUUCUUUACUUUCUGCAAAUUCAGGGGUUCUAUUACAUGAAAUACACAGACGAUCAUACACGAAGCGCAAAAGUGACUUGCGC